AGCACACUAGGGUUUGAGACACCGCAUCUGUGAUGGUGAUCAUGAAGAAAGGUAGAGACGCUGCGGCUGAACAUCAGAUUUCUGUCCACGACGGAGGGUUUGAUCUCUCUGUGAAGGUCACCUGUUUUGAUGUUUACCAGUUCUUUCUGCGUCUCUUGUUUUAUACAUGGCUUAUGGGGAUGGAGGUUUUGCUGGGAAGGGGUUUGAAGGCACUUGAAGAGGACCUUAGUGAGAACAGCUGGAGCAGGGCUGGAGACCAUUCUCGUUGCACGCUGUGCACUUCAGGGCUUUGAAGGAGUCAGUGAAGCAGUUGCGAAACACAGACAUUUUGCUGCCAUGGCACAUAGGGCACGGGACAAAGGCAUAUCCCCCACACGUCUGGCAUGUGUCGGAGUGCUGAACCCUCUACCAUCAGACAAAGAAACAGAGACAAGAAUGUGAGUGCAUUUGAAUGAAAUACCUGACCCAUGUACACAUUCUCUUGGAGAUUCAAUCUGAGUGAUGCUUUAUUUAUUUAAUAAAAUAAGACAAAUGCAAGCUUGACUUUAUCGAUCAUUUUGGGAUGUUCGGCACACUGGUUAUGUAAAUGCACAAUAAUAUUUUGAGCUUGCUAUUAUUAGUACUUUUAUUUUGAAAUCAUUUGCAAUCAUUGAGGGGACCCAAUUUGACAGGAAGAUGUAACUAUUUUACAUAGUGGAGAUUUCUUAUGAACCUAUUCAAUGUCAAUCAUACGAAAAACAAUUUUUAGGAAAAAGUAAGCAUGAAGGUCCACUCCUAAAUGGUAUGAGAUUGCAUAAAUUCAUAUGAGUUUUUGAAAAUGUAGCGUAGUUACAAAUUUGCCUCAAGAUUAUGUUGAAAUUAUUGACAUUCAUUAUAUUUGAGAAACCACUGUAUAGCAAAUUGUGCCUGCCAAAUGCAUACAUGUAAUGUAAAUAAUAUUAAUCACUGAUAAAUAAUGCAUGUGUAUGUGUAAAAAGCUAUAAUGAACUGUAAUAAUAAACCUUUCUUGUCACAAA